UAGGCUAUUGUAAAACACUGUCAAGUCAUUCCUUGACCCCAAGACCACUGCUAAGAUUAACAUGGUCCGCAAUGGCUCGCACAGGAUGACUCCUGUCGAGGAGGAGAAGACAAUCCCAGAGGAUGGUAGCGUCAGCGUCAGCAUGAGCGUGAAGAAGCCAGCAUCCAUCAAGAUUGAAUCUCCCAAGAAUUGGAAGCUCUUUCCGGUUCAAGAGAAAACCGGCCAGCCUGAUGUGUAUGUACCCAUGGUUGAUAAGACAGUUGAUCUGCAGAAUAAUGAUGAGGGAGAUGUGUGUAAAAGUAGGGUUGAUCAAGUAGAAGGAAGCCACAGAAGAGCGUGGCGGUGGCCAAUGCAAGCCAUGAGGU